AAAGUUGGCUAGCUUGCUAGCUACUUCUAGACACAAAUAAGAGAACACAUCCUCACUCUUACCAUUCUACUCACCCUAACAGAGCUGUCUGAAGCCUGCUCCAGGGGAUGGUGUGGUGAUGACCAACCCAUCUAAACAUCACCAGGACCAUCUGAACGGGGAGCUGGACCGGCUGACUGGCCUUCUGCCCUUCUCCCAAGAGGUCAGGGGUCGACUGGACAAACUGACCGUCCUCAGGCUCAGCGUGGGAUAUCUCAAGGUCAAGAGCUUCUUCCAUGGCGUUGAAGUUCCAGGGGCAUCUGAAGUAUGUGUGUGGUCAGGGGAGGCUGGGGGAUGACGAGGCCACGGCCCCCGCUCAGCUGGCCCUCCUUACUCUCAUCUUCCAGACCAAACGCAUUGGUAUAGACACCAGGUACUGGAGUAACCCCAAAACCCUGUAGUGUUUUAACCCUUACCCUAACCCCAUGGGUAUAGACACCAGGUACUGUACAGAAAGAAGGGGAAGCAAUGUGUGCA